CAAGUCGAACGGGAAUUACUUUAUUGAAACUUCGGUCGAUUUAAUUUAAUUCUAGUGGCGGACGGGUGAGUAACGCGUGGGUAACCUGCCUUAUACAGGGGGAUAACAGUCAGAAAUGGCUGCUAAUACCGCAUAAGCGCACAGAGCUGCAUGGCUCAGUGUGAAAAACUCCGGUGGUAUAAGAUGGACCCGCGUUGGAUUAGCUUGUUGGUGGGGUAACGGCCCACCAAGGCGACGAUCCAUAGCCGGCCUGGGAGGGUGAACGGCUACAUUGGGACUGAGACACGGCCCAGACUCCUACGGGAGGCAGCAGUGGGGAAUAUUGCACAAUGGGGGAAACCCUGAUGCAGCGACGCCGCGUGAAGGAAGAAGCAUCUCGGUAUGUAAACUUCUAUCAGCAGGGAAGAUAGUGACGGUACCUGACUAAGAAGCCCCGGCUAACUACGUGCCAGCAGCCGCGGUAAUACGUAGGGGGCAAGCGUUAUCCGGAUUUACUGGGU
rnacentral:rRNA from 1 species